UCAGCUCUUAUUUUUAGAAGUUGGGGCCUGGACUGGUUGCCCGAGGGCACAGAUGCCAGCCGGAACCCCGAGGGCUUUGGGUGGACACUGCCCACCCUGGGCUUCUUCUGAAGGACUCUUCCUUCUCCAAGGUCAUGGCCAGAGGAGGGCCAUGGAUUCCCUCUGUCUUCACACUGACCGUGGGCCUUCUACUAGCAGCACCCUUCCCCCUCCAGGUCCCAGGGAGAGAUUGUCUGGCUACAAUGACUGGGAUCCUAUCCUAGACCUUAGAAUUCACCAGCUCCAGGACUCUCAGAUCUGGGACACAGAAAACUCAGCUCUGGACCCCGUACUUCAGAUGACACAACUUUGGCCCUCUUCUGUAUGAGCUGUACCUUGAGACCAGGAUCCAGGAGGUCAGCCAGGCACUGGAAGGAAUGUAAUGAUUUAUUCAUUGUCCUUAUUGGUUGAAUAAAUGAGUAGCAAAGAUUAAAGGAAUAAAACCAAGCCUGGAUGGACUGAACAGGACCACCUGACAGGCAGAUGUUUUGACUGUAGGACCUUCAAAUGCAUCUCUCCCUGACCAUCACUUCUUUCUGUCUGUUCUCAGGUGGGGAGUGUGGCUGGCCAAGUUCUCUGCAAGUUCAUCCUGAAUGGGGGAGUGGCUCAUCCCUGUGUGAUUAAAGGGAGAGUGUCCACUUGUGUCCCAGGUCCUUUUGUGUCUCAUACAUGACUGUGUGUGCAGCAGUGUCUCUUGUGUUCUAGCACAGAACCUCCUCCCUGUCCAAGUGAGGGGCCCUGGGGCAGGCCCCAUCAUGGUCUGGGGCAGGGGGGUGGGGGAGACGUUGGCAAGCUUUAUUACCUCCUCAUUUACACACCCGCCCCCUCUGGCAGAGCCAGGCCUCAAUGAACCUGACUGCCUGUCAGCCUCUGGGUUGGCAAUGAUGGAGAGCUCUCUUGGGGGCCACCAGCCUCCACCAUCUGGCCAGGCUGGUGCUGGGGAGAUGGGGUGCCUGUCAGAGGAUGCCAUGGGUAUGUGGGCAGGUAGAAGUGUAGUAGGUGUGUGUGAUUGUGUGCUGAGCCUGUGGCUCAUCUGAGUGGCACUCAUGUGUUUGUAUUCAUGAUGGUCUAUGUUUAUGUGUCUGCAUGACUGUCCUGUGGUCUGGGGUCUCUGAGUAUGAUGCUGUGUACCCCAGAUUGGGGGCCUUUGGUCUAGGGCUUUUCCAUGGAAAGCUCUGGGUAGGGGCAAGGGUGUUCUGUGAAUUCCUGGUUCAUCUCUCAGUCAGGAGAGAUUAACCUUCAGGUGUCUUUCUGUAGAGGGGCUGAGAGUCCCUAUUUGGGAAACCAAGUCAACCGAGACAUACUAAAGCAUCCUUGACUGUCCUCAGCCCCCAUUGCCU
rnacentral:lncRNA from 1 species